GAAAUGCGAUACGUAGUGUGAAUUGCAGAAUUCAGUGAAUCAUCGAAUCUUUGAACGCACAUUGCGCCCUUUGGUAUUCCAAAGGGCAUGCCUGUUCGAGCGUCAUUUGUACCCUCAAGCUUUGCUUGGUGUUGGGCGUUUUUUGUCUUUGGUUGCCAAAGACUCGCCUUAAAAGGAUUGGCAGCCGGCCUACUGGUUUCGCAGCGCAGCACAUUUUUGCGCUUGCAAUCAGCAAAAGAGGACGGCAAUCCAUCAAGACUCCUUCUCACGUUCGACCUCGGAUCAGGUAGGGAUACCCGCUGAACUUAAGC
rnacentral:misc_RNA from 1 species